ensembl:lncRNA
GGAUUGCUCAUUUCCCACAGUCCCACAAGGUAAAUUAAAAAAAAAAAAAAGGAAAAUUUACCAUAAAUAAUGUGAUACCACGGCUGAAACGCGGGGGAGAGAAAGCCGCUACACCUGGAGAAGAGAUGCUUGCGGGAACUGUCUCCAAACAGACUGAGAUGUGCUGAAAGAGGCCGAGCAGCUCCUGCAGACAGAGAUGAGCCCCAGCCAGGAGCAGUUCCCACGCACGGAGCUUCGGAGCCGGGGCGGAACCCCACGAGUGACAGCCAGGAGGAAGCAGCACUACACACGUCCCAUAUGGUGAGGGACAUCAGCAAGAUAUCUGGGCAAGGAGCUGCAGCAGAGAGAAGGGGAACAGAGAAAACACACUCAGGUACACUUCACAAAUGGUCACCGCAGUUUCAAUAUUCCAAACAACCUCAACUCUGUCCCCAUUUCCCAUCCAGCUCCCCUCUAUAGGAGACACUCUCUAUAUCGUAACUAGUCCACCCUGAUGGCAUAACUCAGCAUUUCCUUUCAGGAAUCAAUGAGAACAAAUGAAAAUUUAAUACAUUCUCCAGACAACUCAACUCCCUUCUCUCCCCCAUGGUAAAUAAAUAAUGUGUUAGUCAAGUGAUGGAUGGCGUGCUUGGAGAUCGCUGUCCGAGUGCUAUUAGGGGCUGGGGAGGUCGGCGGAGUGAAGACGUGGCCGAGUGCAAGAUGAAGUGGUGGCCGUGGGUCAUUUGAGGCUGGGAGGGAAAUGGAGGGUACAUGGAGGCCUCCAGGGAUGGAAGAAGGAGCACAGAGCAGACAGGGGUGUCUCGUUAUGGAUUGCUGCGCUGGAGCUAUUGGGUUUCUCUGUUGCAGACAUGGCUGGAUCCAAAGCCCAGUGGCUUUGGGACAGUUGGGUGCAGACGCACUACAGGUCUAAUGGGGCAAACAGAGAAAUGUGUGACAAGGUGAGCCUGGAGUGAAGCAUCUGGGAGGUGGGACCUGACGGCGGCCAGACACGAAUGAGCCCCAAGUCUCUCACUUGCCCCACAGCUGGGGGGAUUUUUGCAUGACCUGUACUCAGAGCAAACGCACUUGUUAAAGGAUUAGAUUUCACAUCUCUCUCUCCAAAAGAGAGGGGAGGUCUGCCUCUUUCCUCCAGCCCGUAGAACAGGUCCUUGUGCCCUCAGUACACAGCUCCUAGGGUCAUGGCAGGGCUCUGGGCCAGAGCUGGGAGACACCAGCACGAGCUGCUGUAGGAACAGCUCUCACUUAGCCUGCAACUCUCAAAGCACAUGGUGGGCAGGACAGAGAGCACUGCCGUGGGACGUUCACCCAGCCCAUAUCUCCCCACCUUCACUAGGAUAAGCAAUGGCAUUCACUAAGGUGUUAAUUCACGCCUUCAAACCAAGGUUUGGGGAUUCAAUUAGGAGCAUGAUGGAGUUCUGCUGGUCCCGUUCCUCACUCCCAGGCACUGAACUAAUGCUGCAUCUAUAUCCACAGGCACUGGGUCCCGGUUGGUACACGUGGUCCUGACCACAUCCCCUUCUUCCAUCCACACAGCUCUGGCUUACAUUCCUGUUGAACUUCAGGAUGCACAGACAACAGUGCCUUCUGUGCCUCAUCCCACAGCUCUGCUUAUCUGCUGAGCGACUGUGUACCUCCUUAUCUCUGGGGAGAGCCUCCGUGUAAAUAUUGCUGUAAAUUCUUUGGCCUCCCUUCCAAGUAGCACUGCUCUUUAAUGCCUUCCUUGUAAGACCUGCUUGCCCUACCCCAAGCCAUUAGCUCUAACAGGACGUUAAUAAGGAGGGGGUUUGGUAUCUCACAGGGAGGCUGACCUCUUUCACUAGAAGCAUGGCACCCAUUACAAAGCAAUGAUAA